GCAGGUCGGAGUAAGCAAGAGGCAGAGCACGAAGUUAAAUUGACGAGUGAAGACAGCUGUAAUUAACGACGGGGGCAAAGCAGACAGAAGUUCAUCAGAGCCCCAGGUCUUCCCUGAUAUGUGGACAGUGCAACCUACUCAGUGGCCCGAGGUUGAUUGAAGUGCCAGGCUGCUCCUCUGGACCCUCCACGGUGUCCGUAGGGGUGACCUGCAGCCUGAAAAGUACAGGAACAGCACCUGGAGCCAGACGUGUUCUUUGGCCCUUUAAGAGAAAACAUCUCAAAUGUGGG